rnacentral:rRNA from 1 species
GACGAACGCUGGCGGCGUGCUUAACACAUGCAAGUCGAACGGAAAGGCCCUGCUUUUGUGGGGUGCUCGAGUGGCGAACGGGUGUGUAACACGUGAGUAACCUGCCCUUGACUUUGGGAUAACUUCUGGAAACUGGGGCUAAUACCGGAUAGGAGCUCCUGCUGCAUGGUGUGGGUUGGAAAGUUUCGGCGGUUGGGGAUGGACUCGCGGCUUAUCCGCUUGUUGGUCGGGUAGUGGCUUACAAAGGCUUUGACGGAUAGCCGGCCUAAGAGGGUUAACGGCCACAAUGGGACUGAGAUAGGGCGCAGACGGCUACGGGAGGCAGCAGUGGGGAAUAUGGCACAAUGGGGGGGAGCCUGAUGCAGCAGCGCCGCGAGCGGGAUGACGUCCUUCGGGUUGUGAACCGCUUUCGCCGGUGACGAAGCGUGAGUGACGGUAAUGGGUAAAGAAGCACCGGCUAACUACGUG